CCCCUAGAUGUUCUGGGCCGCACGCGCGCUACACUGAACAGUUCAACAAGUCUUAACCUUGGCCGAUAGGUCUGGGUAAUCUUUGAACGCUGUUCGUGAUUGGGAUAGACCUUUGCAAUUAUGGGUCUUCAACGAGGAAUUCCUAGUAAACGCAAGUCAUCAGCUUGCAUUGAUUACGUCCCUGCCCUUUGUACACACCGCCCGUCGCACCUACCGAUUGAAUGGUCCGGUGAAAUCUCGGGACGGCGGCUUGGUCGCUUGCGUCCGACUGCUGAAACUUGAUUAAACCAUAUCAUUCAGAGGAAGGCGAAGUCGUAACA
rnacentral:rRNA from 1 species